rnacentral:rRNA from 1 species
AGGGGAUACGUAGCGAAGUUACGCUAAUACCGCAUACGAUCCACGGAUGAAAGCAGGGGACCUUCGGGCCUUGUGCUAUACGAGCGGCCGAUGUCUGAUUAGCUAGUUGGUGAGGUAAAGGCUCACCAAGGCGACGAUCAGUAGCGGGUCUGAGAGGAUGAUCCGCCACACUGGGGACUGAGACACGGCCCAGACUCCUACGGGAGGCAGCAGUGGGGAAUUUUGGACAAUGGGCGCAAGCCUGAUCCAGCCAUGCCGCGUGUCUGAAGAAGGCCUUCGGGUUGUAAAGGACUUUUGUCAGGGAGCAAAACUUACUGGUUAAAUACCUGGUGAGGUUGAGAGUACCUGAAGAAUAAGCACCGGCUAACUACGUGCCAGCAGCCGCGGUAAUACGUAGGGUGCAAGCGUUAAUCGGAAUUACUGGGCGUAAAAGCGUGCGCAGGCGGACUUUUAAGCCAGAUGUGAAAGCCCCCGAGCUUAACUUGGGAAUUGCGUUUGGAACUGGGAGUCUAGAGUCUGUCAGAGG